AGAACAGGUAGUCCUCGAGAGCUCAGUGACGUUCCACAUGGCAGUCGUAAGAUGCCACAAGCAACAGUCAGAGCACACCGGACGGAACCGAACCCUCCACCACUUCAGAUCUGACUGAAUAACGAGGGAGCGUCCGACACUCCAGGUCAAUAUACACUACGUGGACAAAAGCCAAAGAUCUAGGAUGGGCGACCGUCCUCUUUUCUCCCCCUGAUUCUGCACCAUAGCUGUCUUUCUGUAUGAUUCUAAAGGUAAGCAAGGUAGG